rnacentral:misc_RNA from 1 species
AACGUAGGGACCGAGCGUUAUCCGGAUUUACUGGGCGUAAAGCGCGUGCAGGCGGCCGUUCAAGUCGGACGUGAAAGCUCCUGGCUCAACUGGGAGAGGUCGUUCGAGACUGAGGGGCUUGAGGAUGAGAGAGGUGAGUGGAAUUCCCGGUGUAGUGGUGAAAUGCGUAGAUAUCGGGAGGAAGACCUGUGGCGAAAGCGGCUCACUGGCUCAUCACUGACGCUCAGACGCGAAAGCUAGGGGAGAGAACGGG